CCUACGGGGGGCAGCAGUGGGGAAUAUUGGACAAUGGGGGCAACCCUGAUCCAGCCAUGCCGCGUGUGUGAAGAAGGCCCUCGGGUUGUAAAGCACUUUCAGUGAGGAAGAACGCCUGGUGGUGAAUACCCAUCAGGAAAGACAUCACUCACAGAAGAAGCACCGGCUAACUCCGUGCCAGCAGCCGCGGUAAUACGGAGGGUGCGAGCGUUAAUCGGAAUUACUGGGCGUAAAGCGCGCGUAGGUGGCUUGAUAAGCCGGUUGUGAAAGCCCCGGGCUCAACCUGGGAACGGCAUCCGGAACUGUCAAGCUAGAGUGCAGGAGAGGAAUGUAGUAUUCCCGGUGUAGCGGUGAAAUGCGUAGAGAUCGGGAGGAAUACCAGUGGCGAAGGCGGCCUUCUGGACUGACACUGACACUGAGGUGCGAAAGCGUGGGUAGCAAACAGGAUUAGAUACCCUAGUAGUC
rnacentral:rRNA from 1 species